GAUGAACGCUGGCGGCGUGCUUAACACAUGCAAGUCGAACGAAGCACCUCUCCCGAAGAUUGACACAGCUUGCUGUAGAUUGAUUCAUUUGAGGUGACUGAGUGGCGGACGGGUGAGUAACGCGUGGGUAACCUGCCUCAUAGAGGGGGACAACAGUUGGAAACGACUGCUAAUACCGCAUAGUAAGAAGAAUUCGCAUGUUUUCUUCUUGAAAGAUUUAUCGCUAUGAGAUGGACCCGCGUCUGAUUAGCUAGUUGGUAAGGUAACGGCUUACCAAGGCGACGAUCAGUAGCCGGCUUGAGAGAGUGAACGGCCACAUUGGGACUGAGACACGGCCCAAACUCCUACGGGAGGCAGCAGUGGGGAAUAUUGCACAAUGGGGGAAACCCUGAUGCAGCGACGCCGCGUGAGUGAAGAAGUAUUUCGGUAUGUAAAGCUCUAUCAGCAGGGAAGAUAAUGACGGUACCUGACUAAGAAGCCCCGUCUAACUACGUG
rnacentral:rRNA from 1 species